UUGAACGCUGGCGGUAUGCUUUACACAUGCAAGUCGAACGGGCUUUGGGGCUUGCUCCAAAGUUAGUGGCGAACGGGUGAGUAACAUAUCGGAACAUGUCCGGAAGUGGGGGAUAACGCACCGAAAGGUGCGCUAAUACCGCAUAUGCCCCGAGGGGGAAAGGGGGGGAUCGCAAGACCUCCCGCUUUCGGAGUGGCCGAUAUCGGAUUAGCUAGUUGGUGGGGUAAAGGCCCACCAAGGCGACGAUCCGUAGCUGGUCUGAGAGGACGACCAGCCACACUGGAACUGAGACACGGUCCAGACUCCUACGGGAGGCAGCAGUGGGGAAUUUUGGACAAUGGGCGCAAGCCUGAUCCAGCCAUACCGCGUGAGUGAAGAAGGCCUUCGGGUUGUAAAGCUCUUUCAGCCGGAAAGAAAUCGUGCAACCUAACACGUUGUAUGGAUGACGGUACCGGAAGAAGAAGCACCGGCUAACUACGU
rnacentral:rRNA from 1 species